UACGUAGGGUGCGAGCGUUAAUCGGAAUUACUGGGCGUAAAGCGUGCGCAGGCGGCUUCGCAAGUCAGACGUGAAAUCCCCGGGCUUAACCUGGGAAUGGCGUUUGAAACUACGGAGCUGGAGUGUGGCAGAGGGAGGUAGAAUUCCACGUGUAGCGGUGAAAUGCGUAGAUAUGUGGAGGAAUACCGAUGGCGAAGGCAGCCUCCUGGGCCAACACUGACGCUCAUGCACGAAAGCGUGGGGAGCAAACAGGAUUAGAAACCCCU
rnacentral:rRNA from 1 species